rnacentral:rRNA from 1 species
AUGGCAGUGGUGCUAUUUCUUGUGAUGUUUGCUUGUGUAGACCAGAUUAUGGACUUGGUGGACCGGUUCAAGAUGACUAGGUUGCCAUCCUGGGAGAUUGUGAGCUCCAGGGCGGUGGUGUUCUUGAUCGGGUUAUCCCUAUUUGCAAUCCAUGCUGAAGUAAAUUUGGGGACUGUAUUGAACCAUAUGCCAAGGUAUCAGUUGGUGGUGUCUUGGAAGGGUUUGCUGCUGCUUGUGUUGAAGAAGCCAAGCGUGUACUUGCCAUUCUUGGAGACGGGCUUGUCGUAG